GACGAACGCUGGCGGCGUGCUUAACACAUGCAAGUCGAACGGAAAGGCCCUGCUUUUGUGGGGUGCUCGAGUGGCGAACGGGUGAGUAACACGUGAGUAACCUGCCAUUGCCUUUGGGAUAACUUCAGGAAACUGGGGCUAAUACCGGCUAGGAGCUCCUGCUGCAUGGUGGGGGUGGGAAAGUUUCGGCGGUUGGGGAUGGACUCGCGGCUUAUCAGCUUGUUGGUGGGGUAGUGGCUUACCAAGGCUUUGCCGGGUAGCCGGCCUGAGAGGGUGACAGGCCACAUUGGGACUGAGAUACGGCCCAGACUCCUACGGGAGGCAGCAGUGGGGAAUAUUGCACAAUGGGCGGAAGCCUGAUGCAGCAACGCCGCGUGCGGGAUGACGGCCUUCGGGUUGUAAACCGCUUUCGCCUGUGACGAAGCGUGAGUGACGGUAAUGGGUAAAGAAGCACCGGCUAACUACGUG
rnacentral:rRNA from 1 species